ensembl:snRNA U2 U2 spliceosomal RNA
AUUGUUUCUCAGUCUUUUGGCUAAGAUCAAGUGUGGCAUCUGUUCCUAUCAGUUUAAUAUCUGAUAUGUCCUGUAUCCGAAGACAGUAUUUUAACGGAGUUUUGGAGCAGGGAGAUGGAAGGAACUUGCACUCCAUGCAGGACUUCCAGGAACAGUGCACCCCCC